rnacentral:rRNA from 1 species
UACGUAGGGCGCAAGCGUUGUCCGGAAUUAUUGGGCGUAAAGAGCUCGUAGGCGGCUUGUCACGUCGGAUGUGAAAGCCCGGGGCUUAACCCCGGGUCUGCAUUCGAUACGGGCAGGCUAGAGUGUGGUAGGGGAGAUCGGAAUUCCUGGUGUAGCGGUGAAAUGCGCAGAUAUCAGGAGGAGCACCGGUGGCGAAGGCGGCACUCUGGGACGGUACUGACGCUGAGACGCGAAAGCGUGGGGAGCGAACAGG